rnacentral:rRNA from 1 species
AUGACAAAGUGUGGUCACCACUACGCGAUUUACCUUGACCUGAAGAACCAACGUUUUGAGGUGCUUGAUUCAAUGCGUUCAGAAGCUGAUGCAGACCUUACUACACAUGCUGAAUACUUCAUCAACAACCUCAAAGAGACAUGGAACUGUCACUACGAAAACUCAAGGGUCCAGAUCGGUCAUUUUCCUAUCGAGUAUGUCGCGGCUAUGAAGGAAGGAAACCGGACUGACAGUGGCUUUCACAUGUUGGAAUACCUUGCAAAGUGGGAAGGCCGACGGGUCUCUGUCCUCAUAGCUGCAAUGGUCGUUGAGCUCCGCAAAAUAUACACAUAG